rnacentral:misc_RNA from 1 species
GGGAUAUCUUAUUAUCUUUAUUAUGCAUCAAUACGUUGGAAGAUGAAUACAAACAACAUGAAUCUUCCUUUUUAUUUAUUGUAAUGAAUAGUGAUCAAAUGACCUAAAUGAUGAUAUUUGCUUGAAUAUAUUCAAGAAUAGCUGUUAAGAUCUGAUGGAUUCACCCAUUCUUGUCUCUGAAGUUUGGUAACUAAAUCCUUGUCAAAAUGGAAUGCUCUUGUUAGAACAUCAGGACUAAUGGAUGGGCUAGCUCCAAAAACUGUAUUUGCUGUUGUCACAACUCCUGGAUUUUGACUGUUGAAUGCUGCUAUGGCAACUGCAGGAUUUUUUCCAACAUUCAACUGGAAGUGAAUGAGCCCAAAUGGAAAUACAAAAACAUCUCCGGCUUUGAGAACUUUAGCAAAAACACGAUGAUCAGGAUUGGAUGUGAUAAAACCAGCAUACAAGGUUCCUUCCAAGACAGUUAAGAUCUCUGAAGCUCGAGGGUGAUGGUGGGGUGGGUUUAGUCCACCAUUUGCUUCAUAAUAGAUACGAUCAAUGGAUAGGCCAUUAGUAUUAAGUCCUGGUAUCGAAUCCACAGUCAAUAGGUUGGUAUGUGCUCCAAGUUGUUUGGAAGUUUCGCUGGCAAUAUUAAGCCCAGAAUAGAAGAAAUCAUCAGCUGUGACAUGGUCUGGGUCUUUGCAAAAUUUUCCAUUCACGAACAAUCCAGAGCUAGCAUCAUCAGUUGCCACACAGAAGUCCUGGAGAGGGCUAGGGUCAUAAGCAAUGGCAAAUGAGGAAGCCAAAGCCAAGAAAGCAAGAGCUACGAGGAAAUUAGAAACUUUCAUUAUGUUUGCUGGGAAGCUUAGAAUUCUUAGAUGAGUUUUGUUUUUG